GCACAAUAGAAACUUGUUACAUGCGUUCCAAAGGGAUCGAUACAGAAGAAAUUAAGCAAACACUAAUGCCAUAUUUAAACAAGAAGCACAGAUACUUCAAUUCCUUCAGGAUUUGUCUGAGUCUUGUGAAGAAUCAGAACUUGAGGAGGGGUAUCCGAUUCCAUGGCGAUUAUUAGGGAACACGCAGAAAACAGUACAGGCAAUUACACCGAUGACAGGAGGCAACACCUGCAGCAAAACCUUCUCACUGGACUCAAACCCUGGAUAGAAGCACCUGACACUGUUGGUGUCCAAAAGUGAUACAACUGCAAACACAAUCAAGGAAAAGAAGGCAUGCACAAAGUCGCCAAACCUAAGCUUGUAAGCAGACAAGGCCACGGAGUUAGAAUUUGUUGAGGGCCAAAGACCCUUAGCUGUUGCAACCCCAUAGUGGGUUUUUCCAUCACUGCCCUUGUAACUAUCAGUGAAGGAAGCAAAACAGCAAGAGAAACCUGAAAUGGCGAUGAGAAUGGCGCUUAGGAAUUUGUUGACGGUGGCGCAGUGGCCAGUGUUGGACAAGACAGGGUUGAGGAACUGGAACAAGAAGACGGUGCCGGUUGGGAGGACCUUGAUGAGGUUGCCUGCUGCUGUGAAUGUUUUGUCUUUGACAGUUUUCUUUUUGGUUGUUAACAAUGACACUGUAUUGGAGGAAGUGCUAGUAGAACCCCCCAUUUGGGAACUAAUGUGUCUUGAGGGAGUUAUUGGAAGUGUU
rnacentral:lncRNA from 1 species